rnacentral:SRP_RNA from 3 species
UGUUGGUUCUCCCGCAACGCUACUCUGUUUACCAGGUCAGGUCCGGAAGGAAGCAGCCAAGGCAGAUGACGCGUGUGCCGGGAUGUAGCUGGCUGGG